GGAGAUCUCGCGGCCUGAAGGUAAAGGACCACCAGUUUCUUGUUUGAUGCCCAAAACAAACACAGAGGAAGAAAAUCCAGCUGUUUCCAGAGCAAUGGAAUCAGGAGUCUGGAGUUGGAAAAGUGCCAGGCGUCACGAGAUUUGUAGCCCGGGCUGAAAUGUCCUGUGCUUGCAUUUUGACCUUUGCCUGGCACCCACGACUGGCCUGCCUUCUCUGCCCCAACUCCUCCUUCUGACUGGUGUCCUUAUGUUUGGAUCUGUGCUAGAAUUGGUUCUGAGACAACAUAAACAGAGCAUGACUCAUGGAUUUGAAGAAGUGUAAGGGUGAAGAACAUGAAGUCAUCAAGGUUAGAAGAAGCGAUGCCAGCGAUGAACACCAGGCUUCACUCACGUUCAAGGAGAGAUGAAUCCAUUCAUUUUAUAAGGUUCACCCAGAAGCAUGGUUGUUGAGUUCUUGAAAAUACAGAGGUCAAAUCAUUUAGGUGUCUAUGUUUCCCCAACAAUACUUUGCUCUGGGGUGGGUAUCACCUGUAGGGUAGUUGUCCUGAUGAAAAGGCCUUAUUGGGCACCAAAAGCUCUGACUGGCAUGCUGGUGGAAGACCCUCAAUAGUAUAGAGAGAGUCAGCCCAGGCCCCUCUGACAUACCGGGUUUCCAUCUUAAGACUCUUUGGAUGCGGGGUCACCCUUCUGAUUCUACUGGCAGUAACUCCAGACCUAUAUCUUGGGAACAUCGGAGAUAAAGUUCAAGGAUGCUUUGUGCUGUGAAAAUAAAAUGACUACUAAGUGGUACCAGGCAAGCAGCCCUGUUGCCUGAUUUUAUGUACAUGACUUAGUGAUAUGGUUAUAAAAUAUGGGCAAAAUAAAGUGAACUGAAUUUAACUGGC
rnacentral:lncRNA from 1 species